AACGAACGCUGGCGGCAUGCCUAACACAUGCAAGUCGAACGAGACCUUCGGGUCUAGUGGCGCACGGGUGCGUAACGCGUGGGAAUUUGCCUCGGGGUACGGAAUAACUCAGGGAAACUUGAGCUAAUACCGUAUGAUGUCUUCGGACCAAAGAUUUAUCGCCCUGAGAUAAGCCCGCGUAGGAUUAGCUAGUUGGUGAGGUAAGAGCUCACCAAGGCGACGAUCCUUAGCUGGUCUGAGAGGAUGAUCAGCCACACUGGGACUGAGACACGGCCCAGACUCCUACGGGAGGCAGCAGUGGGGAAUAUUGGACAAUGGGCGAAAGCCUGAUCCAGCAAUGCCGCGUGAGUGAAGAAGGCUCGGUUGUAAGACUCUUUGUCUAGGGAAGGAAACGGUA
rnacentral:rRNA from 1 species